rnacentral:rRNA from 1 species
AGUGAACGCUGGCGGUAGGCCUAACACAUGCAAGUCGAACGGCAGCACAGUAAGAGCUUGCGCUUACGGGUGGCGAGUGGCGGACGGGUGAGGAAUAAAUCGGAAUCUACUUUUUCGUGGGGGAUAACGUAGGGAAACUUACGCUAAUACCGCAUACGACCUACGGGUGAAAGCAGGGGAUCUUCGGACCUUGCGCGAUUGAAUGAGCCGAUGUCGGAUUAGCUAGUUUGCGGGGUAAAGGCCCACCAAGGCGACGAUCCGUAGCUGGUCUGAGAGGUUGAUCAGCCACACUGGAACUGAGACACGGUCCAGACUCCUACGGCAGGCAGCGGUGGCGAAUAUUGGACCAUGGGCGCAAGCCUGCUCCAGCCAUACCGCGUGGGUGAAGAAGGCCUUCGGGUUGUAAAGCCCUUUUGUUGGGAAAGAAAAGCAGCAGGUUAAUACCCCGCUGUUCUGACGGUACCCAAAGAAUAAGCACCGGCUAACUUCGUG